UAGGGAAUAUUGGGCAAUGGGCGAGAGCCUGACCCAGCCAUGCCGCGUGCCGGAUGAAGGCCUUCUGGGUUGUAAACGGCUUUUCUCAGGGAAGAAAAAGACCAUGCGUGGUACACUGACGGUACCUGAGGAAUAAGCACCGGCUAACUCCGUGCCAGCAGCCGCGGUAAUACGGAGGGUGCAAGCGUUGUCCGGAUUUAUUGGGUUUAAAGGGUGCGUAGGUGGCUUGUUAAGUCCGGGGUGAAAGCCCACAGCUCAACUGUGGAACUGCCCUGGAUACUGGCGAGCUUGAGUCCAGACGAGGUUGGCGGAAUGGAAGCUGUAGCGGUGAAAUGCAUAGAUAGCUUCCAGAACCCCGAUUGCGUAGGCAGCUGACUAGGCUGGUACUGACACUGAGGCACGAAAGCGUGGGGAGCGAACAGG
rnacentral:rRNA from 1 species